UUUUUUAAGCCCCCCCCCCCCACCCCCUAUGGCAAUCGAAGCAGCCCUGACAAGAAAAACGAGAUAGUGUGCGGUUGAUCGGUCAUGUAAUCUGUCAAAUAUUCAAAAAAUAAAGUUUGUUUACAUUUUGAACCGAACGAUAGCUCUCACGAUGUACAACGGCGAAUGAUUAAAAAAAGGCUACAUCGGCGAUGAAAAUGUUGUGUGUAAUGUGUAAAAUAAACAGCCGAAAAAUUAUAAAUGGUGGUAGAAUCGACUUCGCACGCCUGAAAGCCGUUUAGGAAAGAGGAAAGAAAGAAUGCCCGCAAUCAAACUACACGAUGUUCGAUCAUGGCAAACAAGUUACACAGCAUGCAAAGCUCGCUCGCCGUUGGACGCUUGGACAAUUCCUUUUACAAGCAUUCGGUGAUCAGUUUGCGAAACGUCUUGCCGCACGCAUGGUACAGGCCCUUCUUGUCCGCCCCGGUAUCGAUCGUGGACUGAUCCUUCUGCAGCGUCAGCAUCAUCACCUCCAUCUGCGGGUAGUUGUGGUACGGCGCAGUUCCGGUCGCCAUCUCGAUCGUGGUAAUGCCGAACGACUAGAAGCCGUAUCCGUGGUCCCACUCCAUCUCCUCCGGCGCCAUCCAGCACGACGUGCCGAUAAAAGUGUGGUACACCUUCUGCCGCGACAUGUCUCCAUCGGUGGCGAGUCACGCGCUCAUCGGCUAUAUUUAAGGUGCCGUCGUCGCUGUGCAGUAUGAUGGCCACCUUGGUGUCCACAUAAUGGGCACUGCGGUAUGUGCACUCUAUUGGCAAGCGCACAGCAAGAUCCAGCAAACGUUACCGACAGCAGUUAUCGCCGUGAAAAUGCUUUUACUGCAUGGGUGAGUAUUAUUAUAUCUAUAAGCAUACGUUCGUUCCUUUCUUUAGUUUCAGCUAAUGGCAGACGAACGAUCGAAUGACUGCUACCUCGGAAGGGAGGUCUCAUUGCGGAUACUGACUUGGAUGUGGUACCACCGAGUCGCUUGGUCGCAGUUGGCCCUGGUGUUUCGGAUGCGGCAACAUCGGAAAAGCGCUCCGAACGUGUUGUGAUCAAACCGAGAUCGGCGAAGCAGUGUAGUGUUGUGUGGUGAUCGUGUGUUCAUUUAUGUUGUAAAGGGUGAUUGUACUCAUUUUUUACUGGAAAUUGUAAUACUAGUUGUUAUGCAGAACAAAAUGCAGCAUAAAUGGCGAUGAGCUAGCAUUGUUUAAAGGUGCCGGAUGUUAUACGUUAGAGCUGUUCCUAGUGGCGUGAUGCGAUAGCGUUGAUAUAUUAAACCAGUAUUAGGAUUAGGAUAUUAGUAGGAUUUAAACCAGUGCCGUUGAAUAAAAUAGUGUACAACAAGUUC